GCUCUUCAUCUGUGUUGAAUGUCCCUAAAUCCAGACGGCCGCUCCACAUGGCCGUGCUGGAGCAGCAGCAGCGCCGUGCUGGUGAGGUCAGCAGCCAUGGGAGAGCACAAAGGGAGAGUUUGCAUCAGUCAGGACACAGCCAGUCCAGAAGGAAUUAAAUUACCUCCACUAAAACACUGGCCAGCACUCACUGUAAGGCUGGUGGAGACUCAGGUGGCUCUAAUGAGACAAGAAUGAGCAAAAGGCAGACACGUUGACUGUGAACUAAGUUUCAGCAAUAAUGCUUCUCAGGGGCUGGUUAUUCUCCUGAGUUUUAAAUACCACUCACUUAUUGAAGGAUAAUAACUGAAGGGAAGCAUGAAAUCAUCCCAAAACCAGCAUGCUGAGGAGGAUCUGUUCAGAGCCAGCUGGUAGGAAACACUCAGAGCAAGGAGAUGCAACCAUUAAAUCCCACCCUUCUCUGGGAUUUCACAAGGUCCAGAUGAGGAGUAAAAAAAUGUUCUCAUGAGGAGCACUCCACGGCAUCAUAUAUAAAAUACUGAAUUGUAUACAGAGCACUCACUGGAUCUGGGAGAACUCUGGUCCAAUUUCUCCCUUUCUGCUGUUGAUGAUUCCAAGCCAUUCUUCUCAGGUCCAUAGGAACACCCACAAAGGAGAGCCUACAGGUGCAUCUCCUCCCAGGUGAUACCUGGACUGGUGGGGAACCCCCAGUCCAACCCCCCAUCCAACCCUCCUCAAUGGGUCCUGGGGGGUAUUUUGUAAGUUUUUUGUAAGCUUUAAAGGAAGGGAUAGAAAGUGUCUAGAGGAGUGACAGUGCACUCUUCAAAGGGAAGAAAUCUGCAUUUAAAUCCUCAGAAUUUAGGAACUAAACUGAUGUUUUCUGCAUGCUGGUCAAAAGCUCCAACUUGUGAGCUGCUAUACAAAGGGGAAAGAGUGUUUAUAUUUUCCAGCUUUGUUAAAAGAGGGGGAGCA